rnacentral:rRNA from 1 species
AACGAACGCUGGCGGCAUGCCUAACACAUGCAAGUCGAACGAGACCUUCGGGUCUAGUGUCGCCCGGCUUCGUCACGCGUCGGAACCUUCCCUUAUGUUCGGACUAACUCCCCGACAGGGAUGCUAAUACCGGAUCAUGUCUUCGGCCCAAAGAUUUAUCGCCUUUGGAUGUGCCCGCGUUGGAUUAGCUAGUUGGUAUGGUAAUAGCCUACCAAGGCGACGAUCCAUAGCUGGUCUGAGAGGAUGCUCAGCGACACUGGGACUGAGACACGGCCCAGACUCCUACGGGAGGCAGGAGUGGGGAAUAGAGGAAAAUGGGGGAAAGGCUGAAGCAGCAAUGACGGGUGAGUGAUGAAGGCCGUAGGGUUGGAAAGCGCUUUUACCCGGGAUGAUAAUGACAGUACCGGGAGAAUAAGCUCCGGCUAACUCCGUG